GACGAACGCUGGCGGCGUGCUUAACACAUGCAAGUCGAACGAAGUGGCGAACGGGUGAGUAAUACGUGGGUAACCUGCCCUCCUUUUUGGGAUAAGCCUUGGAAACGGGGUCUAAUACUGACUAAAGGGGGAUGGGCUAGCGGCCUAUCAGCUUGUUGGUGGGGUGAUGGCGUACCAAGGCGGUGACGGGUAGCCGGCCUGAGAGGAUGACCGGCCACAUUGGGACUGAGAUACGGCCCAGACUCCUACGGGAGGCAGCAGUGGGGAAUAUUGCACAAUGGGCGAAAGCCUGAUGCAGCCAUGCCGCGUGUAUGAAGAAGGCCUUCGGGUUGUAAAGUACUUUCAGCGGGGAGGCGUUACCCGCAGAAGAAGCACCGGCUAACUCCGUGCCAGCAGCCGCGGUAAUAC
rnacentral:rRNA from 1 species